rfam:Giardia lamblia ATCC 50803 SC_581 genomic scaffold, whole genome shotgun sequence.
CGUAGAUGAAGAGAGAUAAAUCAGCUACCGCUGAGCCCAACGUGAGGAAGAAACCGCCUUUCGUCUGACC